AGAGUUUGAUCCUGGCUCAGGAUGAACGCUGGCGGCGUGCCUAAUACAUGCAAGUCGAACGCUUCACUUCGGUGAAGAGUGGCGAACGGGUGAGUAAUACAUAAGUAACCUGGCAUCUACAGGGGGAUAACUGAUGGAAACGUCAGCUAAGACCGCAUAGGUGUAGAGAUCGCAUGAACUCUAUAUGAAAAGUGCUACGGGACUGGUAGAUGAUGGACUUAUGGCGCAUUAGCUGGUUGGUAGGGUAACGGCCUACCAAGGCGACGAUGCGUAGCCGACCUGAGAGGGUGACCGGCCACACUGGGACUGAGACACGGCCCAGACUCCUACGGGAGGCAGCAGUAGGGAAUUUUCGGCAAUGGGGGAAACCCUGACCGAGCAACGCCGCGUGAAGGAAGAAGUAAUUCGUUAUGUAAACUUCUGUCAUAGAGGAAGAACGGUGGAUAUAGGGAAUGAUAUCCAAGUGACGGUACUCUAUAAGAAAGCCACGGCUAACUACGUGCCAGCAGCCGCGGUAAUACGUAGGUGGCGAGCGUUAUCCGGAAUUAUUGGGCGUAAAGAGGGAGCAGGCGGCACUAAGGGUCUGUGGUGAAAGAUCGAAGCUUAACUUCGGUAAGCCAUGGAAACCGUAGAGCUAGAGUGUGUGAGAGGAUCGUGGAAUUCCAUGUGUAGCGGUGAAAUGCGUAGAUAUAUGGAGGAACACCAGUGGCGAAGGCGACGAUCUGGCGCAUAACUGACGCUCAGUCCCGAAAGCGUGGGGAGCAAAUAGGAUUAGAUACCCUAGUAGUCCACGCCGUAAACGAUGAGAACUAAGUGUUGGAGAGAUUCAGUGCUGCAGUUAACGCAAUAAGUUCUCCGCCUGGGGAGUAUGCACGCAAGUGUGAAACUCAAAGGAAUUGACGGGGGCCCGCACAAGCGGUGGAGUAUGUGGUUUAA
rnacentral:rRNA from 1 species